CCUUACUGUAUGUAUGCUAAGCCAUUUUCCUGUCUAAAACACUUCUCAUAUGUCUUGGGAGUCAAACUGUGAAGAAAUAAUCAUUAUAACUUAUACAGUUGACAAAAUACAUACAU